rnacentral:lncRNA from 1 species
AACAUGUUCAUCCGUUGCUUCAAGGCAGAUUUUAGGGAUGAGAAACUGCUUUGUCACCCACGAUGGGAAACAGAUUUACGUGGUCUUUCAACAGGCGAUGAUAAGGGUGCUGGGAUGGACUUCGGAUCAGUGGCUCUUCACUUGGGGGGGUGGGGAUCUCUUGGGUCAUUGGAUGGAAGUGGUGGUGACCCUCCCGGUAUAAAAGUGCAUGACUUUGGGGACAGCCUGGACUCCCUGCAGCUUGUCCUCGUUCCCAACUAGGCCUCCUGCAGGCAGGAGCUUUCCCUCUCCUUCACCACUGCAGGCCUGGAGCCCAGUCCAGGGCCGGCCGGCCUUUGGAAGCGAUGCUGACAGCGCGUCCGGUCGGUCUGGUCCCGAGGAGAGGCUUUGCAGCAGGAGCACCUGUGGGCCAGAGAAGAGAGAUUUACCAAGAAAAGUGAUGAAGCCAGAGAGAUUCCCUCCGCCCUGGAUUUGGAGAAAGUCCCUGCAGAGCCCCCAGCCCCUCCUCCCUCGCCGGUCGAAGACAACAGCGUCUAAUUGCACUUACAGCACUCCGGCGAAGUUGGGGGUGUCUUUGAAGACUGUCUUGGAACAUCUUUGUUCUUUCUUUCCUGUUUUGCUUCUCUCACGAUCAUGGCUGAGCGGUGUUUAUCCUCACUAACGCACUUAGAGCAAUCUUUGGUUUUUUAAGUCAAGUCUCUGACACACGUCCACAUCUGAUCUUUAAUUUUGUCAUUCUAUAGAUGUGGUCAAUUGUAUUUGAAUUAAAAAAAAAAGAUGAGGCUUCAAUAUUUGUUAUUAAAUCAGGAUGAAUGAAAAUCCAGGAAUCUGUGACUUUAAAGAUUUGAGCUCCAGAGAACCAUGAGAUACUUGGGUUUUCAAAACUCAGCCUGGGACACUACAGCUUUAUGGCCUCGAGAGCUAGUUUAACUGAGCGGUAUCCUCUCCGCCAGCGCCGGGCUGACUGUGUCCACGUUCGUGGACGGAAUCUUCAAGGUGUGCUUCCAGGAGGCUUAAGUGCAUUUCUAACUCUGUAGCAGAAGAAGCCCAACCUGAAAAGCGCCAAGUGCAGAGUGGGAGAGAAGUCUGUUGCUCAGAUCCCAUGUUCGAGACUCUGCACUUCUAAGGACGUCUGGGGCGCUUCUGAGCAGUUUGAAGCCAUCAAAAUGUGAUCACUCGGCUCAGGUCAUGAUCUCAGGGUCCUGGGAUUGAG